GGGAAGGCCAAUGGAGAGAGACACCAAAGGAGAGCUGUGGGGACAGCAGAAGCUGGGGUGGAGCGCCCAGCUCGUCCCUUUCAGCACUGUGGUGCAGGGAUCCGUGGAGGCCGUGCAGCCAGGGGUUCUGAGAAGUGCUUCUUCCAGCACCUGUUUCACCAGGGCCACAACACGUGUUCCAAAUGCCACUUUUGCCCAUCUCCUGCUACAGCUCAGGAGAAGUGGGAGGACCUGUGUAUCAUGCAUAUAAUCUCCCAGAGGGUGCGACAGAUCACGCCCCUCACUGUGCGCCUUCUCUAAAUCCAUCACCCUGGAAAUUUUACGUGGUGUCAUCAGCUGAAUUAACACCUGUUAAAAUCAUCAUUCCCACCAGACUCAAAACUGCAAGUGCUUUUAAUGAGGCUCCACAUAAAAUAAUACAUUUUCUCAGAGCCCUUAAAUUACAUUAAAUCCUCCACACCAAAUAAAUUAUUGAAACUGCGAUUAGAGUUUGGAUCAUACCAACAGACCUGCUCGGAGGCAAAUUUUCAAACUGCCCAACCACCUAAGCAAAGAGGUGAGUGAAAAAUUCUUCGUUUUCAAUGGUUAUUUCAACAGAAGCUUCAGUGCUAAAUUAGCAGUGAAUUUUGUGUAUGAAUUUUCUUUGAAAUCUAACAUUAUGUAAAUGAAAAACCCAACACAGCACAAAUUAAGACUAUUCUUAAUUCUAAAAGGCUGCUAUUCUGUGAUAAUGACGCCAUGGAAUACUUACAGUCUGCCAACCAUGGAGUGUGGUUCCUGCUCCCCCAUCUGUCUUGGAUGCCUCCCAGCAGGGGGACACCCACCGUGUCCUCAUUUCUUUAUCCUGCCCACUGAAGUCAGAUCCUGUCCACCCUUCCACCCCUCUUCCACCUCAUAAUUUAAUCUUGCCCAGAUCAUUUAAUCACCUAAAAUGGAACCAGAGAUUGAAAUGCGCUUAACCUGCAUCCAUGUGCAGUGUAAAGUACUAGAGGCGUGACGUCAGAAGCCCACUCACCUGGGUUUAUAUCCGGCUCUGCCAGAGACCCGCUGGAUCUGCUCAGAUUCUCAAAGCAAUCCUGUAUGGUGAGAAUUAUUUUUAUUUUACCGACAAAGCUGCUGAAGAUCAGAGACAUUGAGUUACUCAUAGAAGAUAUACAGACAGAGCCAAGAUUCAAAUCCCUUGGGUGUCUGGCUCCAAAGUGGAAAUUUUCUCCACGGUGCCAAAGGACUCAUAAACAGAAUGUACAAAGGACUCUUACAAAUCAGUAAUAAAAGGACAAUCAAUGUUUUUAAACAAGCAGAAGACUUCGAUAAACACCACAUAAAAGAGAAUGCAUGCAUGGCCAAUGAGAACAUAAAAAAGAUGCUCAGCGUUGUUGGUCGUCAGGGAAGUGCAGAUUGAAAAUGCAAUGGGAUACCACUACACACCCGCCAGAAUGGUUAAAAUUUAAAAAUUUUAACAGUACCAAAUGUUAGAGAGGCUGUGAAGCAGCAGGAUGUUUUAUGCAUGGCCAGCAAAAGUAUAAAAUGGUAGAGCCAUUUGGAAAACUGGCAUUUUCUCAUAAAUAUUCACCUAUCAUGUGAUCUAAAAAUUCCAAAAGAAAUGAAACUAUAUGUCUACAAAAAAAGUUGGAUAAGAAUAUUCAUUGUAGCUUUAUUUCUUUUGUUGUUGUUGUUGAAACAGAGUCUCGCUCUGCCGCCCAGGCUGGAGUGCAGUGGAGCCGUCUCAGCUCACUGCAACCUCUGCCUCCCGGGUUCAAGCAAUUCUUGUGCCUCAGCCUCCCAGGUAGCUGGGACUACAGGCACGUGCCACCACACCUGGCUAAUUUUUGUAUUUUUAGUAGAGAUGGGGUUUCGCCAUAUUGGCCAGGCUGCUCUCGAACUCCUGACCUUGUGAUCCGCCUGCCUCGGCCUCCCAAAGUGCUGGGAUUACAGGCAUGAGCCACCGCACCUGGCCAUGGCUUUAUUUCUAAAAGCCAAACUUUGGAAACAAUGCCAAUGUCUAUCAAUAGACUAAAGAGAUAAAUUGAGAUUUUUCAUACUGUGAGAUAUUGCCCCACAAUAAAAAGGAGCAAACUAUUAAUGCAUACAACAACGUAGAUGAAUCUCAACAAUAUUAUGUUAAAUGAGAAGCACCAGACACAAAAGAGUACACACAAUGAACGACUCCACUUAUGUGAAGUCUAGCAACAGGAAAAACUCAUCUAUGGAAAUAGAAAUCAGAAUAGUCAUUGCCUGUGAGAAUGUAGAGGGAGGGUGGGCCACAGGAAAGGAGCAUGGGAAAAUUUUUUGGGUGAUGGCAAUUUUCACAUUUUGAUUAAACAAUUAAGUUUAAUCAAAUUAUACACUUAAGGUCUGUGCAUUUUACCAUAUGUAAUUAUGCUUUGAAUAAAAAUAAAUUAAAAUAAAGGGAUGAAAUGAGUUGCUUCUUCCAGUAUUAUGCUUUGGCACUGGAAGUAUUUAAGCUAGACUAAUGCUUAUCAGAGAUAUUGUGGACGGUUCAAAUUGGGAGUUCUGAUUAAGUAAUAAAAAACAAGCCCUCAGAUUUUAAGACUUCGGUGUGAUACUUGAUAUGUAAUGCUGAACUAAUCAUGUAUUUCGGAAUAGGCAAAACCUGCGUUCAUCUUCUAUUUUGGAGAACUCCACGUAGAUAUGGAAACUUAUGUUACCGAAAACUUUCUUGAAUCUGUUUAUUUUUCUUUUCUGAAAUUCUUCCCCUAUUUACCAUUACCUCUAACUACUUGCCUCCUGAAACGCAAACCUUUAGCCACUCUAUGUUCCUGUAUCUUAGAACAUGUGGUGUUUGCACAUUUCCUUUGUUAAACAUCCUCCCUACUCCCACUUCCCAUCAACUUCUGCCCUUCCUUGAAACUACACAGAAGUCAACUGCACCAGUAAGACUCCCCUAUAAGCCCUGUGGCCCACAGUUUUAGUCUAUUUUUGAGUCUAGAUUACCUGUAGUAUAGCAAUUAUCCCAGGCUAAAUGAUGCCAAGGUCCCUUCCCGCUCAAAGAGUCUGGCUCUUUGAACAGGGGAAUCUGGGCUUGAAGAAUGAAGAGAAACAACCAAGC
rnacentral:lncRNA from 10 species